ACUCCUACGGGGAGGCAGCAGUGGGGAAUAUUGCACAAUGGGCGCAAGCCUGAUGCAGCCAUGCCGCGUGUGUGAAGAAGGCCUUCGGGUUGUAAAGCACUUUCAGUUCGUGAAGGGAAGGGUAGUUGUAGUUAAUAGCUGCAUUAUUUGACGUUAGCGACAGAAGAAGCACCGGCUAACUCCGUGCCAGCAGCCGCGGUAAUACGGAGGGUGCGAGCGUUAAUCGGAAUUACUGGGCGUAAAAGCGCAUGCAGGUGGUUUGUUAAGUCAGAUGUGAAAGCCC
rnacentral:rRNA from 1 species